AGAGUUUGAUCCUGGCUCAGGACGAACGCUGGCGGCGCGCUUAACACAUGCAAGUCGAGCGAGAACCAGUCCUUCGGGACUGGGGAAAGCGGCGAACGGGUGAGUAACACGUGGGUAAUCUGCCCUCGGCACUGGGAUAGCCCGGGGAAACCCGGAUUAAUACCGGAUAGCCUUUCGAGCCUUCGGGCUCGUCAGAAAAGGUGGCUUCGGCUUCCGGCUGAGGAUGAGCCCGCGGCGGAUUAGCUUGUUGGUGAGGUAAUGGCUCACCAAGGCUCCGAUCUGUAGCUGGUCUGAGAGGACGAUCAGCCACACUGGGACUGAGACACGGCCCAGACUCCUACGGGAGGCAGCAGUAGGGAAUCUUGCGCAAUGGGCGAAAGCCUGACGCAGCGACGCCGCGUGCGGGAAGAAGGCCUUCGGGUUGUAAACCGCUUUCAGGAGGGACGAAGCCACUCGGGUUAAUAGCCCAGAGGGUGACGGUACCUCCAGAAGAAGCCCCGGCUAACUACGUGCCAGCAGCCGCGGUAAUACGUAGGGGGCAAGCGUUGUCCGGAUUUAUUGGGCGUAAAGAGCGUGUAGGCGGCCAGAUAGGUCAGCUGUGAACUCGAGCUCACCUCGAGAUGUCGGCUGAGCCAUCUGCUAGAGUCGGAGAGAGAUGAAUCCGGUGUAGCGUGAUGCGUAGA
rnacentral:rRNA from 1 species